UUCAAGUAUCAAACAGCAAUCAUAAAAAAUAUGAUACAUCGUUACUUGACGACUUACAGGGUAUAAAGAGAGUAUAAUGUUGUCUACAAAAGGCAAUUGUGUUGAGAAAAGCCAAUUUGUCUUGCAAAAAGCUAUAUAUCAUACUAGCAUUUCAUCUGACAAGGUCAACCCCACACAAUCCUGCAUUCGAAAAUAUCAUUACAGAUACAUUUUAAAUGCGAACAUUGUACUUUUAAAAUUCUUCACAUCAAUUAUUCACGCACCUCGUAGUGUGUUUAACAUUAAAAAUAUUAGUGAAAAAUUAUCUUAAUUGAUAAAAGCUCUUCAAAUUGAAAAGAUAUAAAAUAUUUAUGGCAAAUAAUGCAAUAUAGCUGCUACACUGUUGAUUAGACAAAUGUCAUACUACUGACUCAAGACCAC
rnacentral:lncRNA from 1 species